UCUAAGUUGGUUGGGCAGCUAACAACUGUCUUUCUGAAGCUGGAAUUCAGACACGGAGGCUGGGUAUCUGAGAGUCUCCCUGAAGAAAUCAUCUUUGAAGCUGCCUGACUUGGAUUAGUUGAGUGUCCUCCCGUCUGGCCCCAGCUGUAACCCUGGUGAAGGACAACGGCAGCGUACAUCACCUUUCAUAACAUCACAGCCAUACUGACAGUUUGCCAUAGAGCAUGACAGGGCACCUGGAAGGAAACAGAGAGUUGUUCACAGAAGGUGGAAGCAGAAAAUGGACCCCACUCCAACGGAGGUGGCUCCCUGGGACUCUGGAGAAAUGAAAGACAAAGGUUUAAAGGGCUUGCAGAUCAGAUCUCCACCAGUCAUGCAAACAGGAGAAUGGAUGGAACCAGUCAUUUGGAUAAUGGAGGCUUAUUUUUCUGCCUUCUCUCAGACUUACUGCUUCAUUCACUUUUCUAGCAAGGCAGAGAAGCAAACGCUCCUAAGAGGGUUUCCCCCAAUGAUCUGCCCAGUCUUGUUCUAAGGUCAAUUUCUCUCACAUAAUCAUUCAUUCCAAGAAAUGCUCAUGUUACCAUACCAAAGCCACUGACCCAUUCUGGGUAACUACAGCGAAAGCCAGCAAGCAUGUGUUGCUCACUUGGCUGAUGGAUUCCUCACAUGAACUUCAGAGUCUUCUAUAACAUUCUUGUCCUCCUGACUCCAGACUGGGAGUACAUUUAAAAGGUACCAAUGAGACAAAAUGAGCUCUCUUCUAUUCUUUCCUGCCUCCCUGGUUUAAGUGAGAAAGAUAUAUAAUUUAUAGGUGGAGAAAGGUGUUGGAACAUCUUUGAAUGGGCCAACAUGUAACCUGAGGAUGUGGAUGUUUGUCCUUUGCCUCUAUGAAAAAUUUUUUUGGGGGGUUGCUAGAUGGUGCAGUGGCCUGGAGCCAAGAAGAUCUAAUUUUAAAUCUAGCCUCAGAUACUUACUAGUUGUGUGACCCAAGGCAAAUCACUUAAUCCCUAUUUGCCUCACUUCCUCAUCUGUAAAAUGGGACAGUAACCUAUUUUACCCAGUCCACAUAUAGAUUGAAGGCAACCUAGAAGGAGCAGCAGUGAUUCUUCCUUCCUCUAGGACUCAUUCAGAAGAGAAUUUGGUGUGGGCUGAAUGCCUUGUAGCAACUGCUUUAAGGUUGAGCUUACGCUCUCCAGAACCAGAAACAGAGUGUGCCUUCCUGGCACGGAGAGGAAAUAGUUUGUAAUUUCUGCUCUUGUACCAUCUUCUCAAUAAAUAUCCUUUUGUUAAGGUUAA